ACAGCCAUACCACCGUGAAUGCAACUGAUCUCAUCUGACCUCAGAAGCUAAGCAGGAUCAGGCCUGGAUAGUACUGGCAUGGGAGAAGAACAUCUGACCCUUUUUGUA
rnacentral:rRNA from 1 species